rnacentral:misc_RNA from 1 species
ACGACCUUGACGCUUUCUGGAUGCCGUUCACGGCCAACCGGGCGUUCAAGGCCAGGCCGCGCAUGCUCGCCGGCGCCAAGGACAUGUACUACUUCACCACCGAUGGCCGCAGNACGGCGCCGCCGGCAUGUGGUGCAGCAACGCAGGCCAUAACCGCGAUCCGAUCGUGGACGCGAUCCAGAAGCAGGCCGCGACCCUCGACUACGCGCCGCCGUUCCAGUUCGGCCAUCCGAAAGCCUUCGAGCUUGCCAGCCGCAUCGCUGCGCUGGCGCCCAAAGGCCUCGAGCAUGUGUUUUUCUGCAACUCCGGUUCGGAAGCGGUCGAUACCGCGCUGAAGGUGGC